rnacentral:rRNA from 1 species
UACAGAGGGUGCAAGCGUUGUUCGGAAUCAUUGGGCGUAAAGCGCACGUAGGCGGCUUUGCAAGUCAGGUGUGAAAGCCUGGGGCUCAACCCCAGAAGUGCAUUUGAAACUGCAGAGCUUGAGUCUUGGAGAGGGCAGUGGAAUUCCGAGUGUAGAGGUGAAAUUCGUAGAUAUUCGGAAGAACACCAGUGGCGAAGGCGACUCACUGGACACAUAUUGACGCUGAGGUGCGAAAGCGUGGGGAGCAAACAGG